rnacentral:lncRNA from 1 species
GAGUACCUGGAAUUGCAGGUGCCCAUCACCAUGCUCAGCUAAUUUUUGUAUUUUUAGUAGAGACGAGGUUUCACCAUGUAGGCCAGGCUGGUCUCGAACUCCCAACCUCAAGUGAUCUACCUGCCUCAGCCUCCCAAAGUACUGGGAUUACAGGGAAAAACUUAAAAUGGAUAUGAAAAGUGAAGAAAGUGAUCAUAGGAGAAAACCAUUUCAGGUAAAAAUAAAAAACAAAGAGCAAAUAAGAUUUACUGUUUUUAAAGAAAAACAACAUUCUUUUGACUGUGUUUUGUUAUAAGAAUUAAUUUCAUAUUCUUUAUGAGUGUAACUGUUGAAAUUUUAUUGAUGGUUUUCAUUUGAAAAUGUGUGCUAUGACCUACCUUUGUGAAAAAUUUCUUGUGGUCAAUUGGGCAGUUUGUGUCCCAUUGAAUAUAUGUCUGUGUAUCCAUACGCUUAAGAUAGGUGCAAUACGGUUUACUAGAAAGCUUUAUAGGAAAA